UACGUAGGGCGCAAGCGUUAUCCGGAAUUAUUGGGCGUAAAGAGCUCGUAGGCGGUUUGUCGCGUCUGCCGUGAAAGUCCGGGGCUCAACUCCGGAUCUGCGGUGGGUACGGGCAGACUAGAGUGAUGUAGGGGAGACUGGAAUUCCUGGUGUAGCGGUGAAAUGCGCAGAUAUCAGGAGGAACACCGAUGGCGAAGGCAGGUCUCUGGGCAUUAACUGACGCUGAGG
rnacentral:rRNA from 1 species